UACGGAGGGGGCUAGCGUUGUUCGGAAUUACUGGGCGUAAAGCGCACGUAGGCGGCUUUGUAAGUUAGAGGUGAAAGCCAGGGCUUAACCCUGGAAUUGCCUUUAAGACUGCAUCGCUAGAAUCGUGGAGAGGUGAGUGGAAUUCCGAGUGUAGAGGUGAAAUUCGUAGAUAUUCGGAAGAACACCAAAGGCGAAGGCAGUGUCCUGGGUGGUCGCUGACGCUGAGAGGCGAAAGCCAGGGGAGCGAACGGG
rnacentral:rRNA from 1 species